rnacentral:rRNA from 1 species
AUUGAACGCUGGCGGCAUGCUUUACACAUGCAAGUCGAACGGCAGCGCGGGCUUCGGCCUGGCGGCGAGUGGCGAACGGGUGAGUAAUGCAUCGGAACGUGCCCAGUAGUGGGGUAUAGCCCGUCGAAAGCCGGAUUAAUACCGCAUACGACCUGAGGGUGAAAGCUGGGGACCGAAAGGCCUCGCGCUAUUGGAGCGGCCGAUGUCGGAUUAGCUAGUUGGUGGGGUAAAGGCUUACCAAGGCGACGAUCCGUAGCUGGUCUGAGAGGACGACCAGCCACAUGGGGACGGAGACACGGCCCAGACUCCUACGGGAGGCAGCAGUGGGGAAUUUUGGACAAUGGGGGCAAACCUGAUCCAGCCGUGCCGCGUGCGGGAAGACGGCCUUCGGGUUGUAAACCGCUUUUGUUCGGGAAGAAAUCCUCUGGGCUAAUACCCCGGGGGGAUGACGGUAACGGAAGAAUAAGCACCGGCUAACUACGUG